AGAGCAUAUACCCUAAAUUUUCAUUUGUCUUAAAGUUUGUGAGGAAAGGCAAGUUUCAGUAUCAGUAUUCAUUAUCAGUAUCAGUGCUUCACAUAAUAUUACAUAUAAAUAUUAAUAUUGCAUAUAAAUAUCCAUACUAUUCACUAUUUAGGGCUCUUUUAUAAGGGAGCAUCGAUUUUAUUUUAAGGUGGUCCUACAAUAUUUUCGAUUACGGAAAGGGUGGGACAGCACAUCUUGUUUGUGAUUGUUCAGAACCAAGGUCAAUCAUUUGUUGGCGUCUGACGUCAGCGAAACAUAGUUGGAGAGCAGCCCGUACGAGACUCAUCGUGUGGAAAGAUCAUUGUACUUCUCAAAAUGUCCGUUUACUGUCACUGCAGUCGAUGGAAAACCGAGAAAUCACGAGAGGCUUUUAUCGAACACCGAAAAUUUUAAUAUAAUGGAGGAAAAAUGCCGGAAAUUGGCCGAAGAAGGACAUCAAAAAUGGCUUCCAACUUUCACCUGCGGGAGUGUGAUAGGCCUAAUGCUCGUGUGUGCGGUGACCGCUUUCAAUGGACUUCAAACUUACACCAGGAAAUCACAGUGAGAAGAGGGCAGGCAUGAAGACAUUUACAGUGGGACUCAAACUUCAGCUUGUAAAGAAGAGACAGACAUGAAGACAUUUUCAGAAGGAGUAGAAGACAACAGCGGCUGAAGACCUGAAGUAGAUGAAAGAAAACAAGAAAAGAACAAGUGUUAUGAAGCUGUUAAUUAGAUAAAAGACCUCCACCAUCUAACUGGUGUAAACAGUGUUGUUUUCCUCUACUAUGUGUAAUGUAGUCAUGGGCACAUUUCCCAUAGACUUAUGAUACAAGUAGUUAAAUGAUCACAAAGAUGCUCCAAAGACAUAUCAAUCUUUGGAAAAUGCACUCAUAACUACAUUAAUC